GCUUUGGUGGUGUAACGGUUCAGCACACGCUCUCGGAAAGAGUGACAUCUGGGUUCGAAUCUCGGUUGACGCA